rnacentral:lncRNA from 1 species
GGUAUCUCUCUUUCCUAGCGCUGUUGCCAGGCAGACUUGUUACUGACACAAAUUUCCUCCCUGAUAAGUUGAGCUCUUCCCCCUCCCAACUUCAUUAUGCCUGCAGCCGGAGCUCUGCUGCAGAGGAAGCCAUGCCAGACACUCUGAUUCACGCUCCUAAAAUAUCGGCCAGCCUGGGUAUGCAAGUGAUGCGAUAAAUCUGGAAAACAUAAAUCAGAUUGUCGGAUGCUAUAUCUGUUUGUGCACAUAGGCUGCAGCAGGCAUGGUGACAUGCCCUCCAACUCUUUGGAGACUACAUUCAAGAGGAGGUUAAAGGGCACGGCUUCUAGAUCUGGGACAGGUGGGCGAGGAGGGCAGGAGUCAACAUGUAGAAGAGGCUUUAAAACUGUUGACAUACAGCCCAGGCACCAGACAUGAGAGUGAAGUGGAGUUCAGGCUCAGAGAUUAUCGGGAGAGGCUGGAAAAGGAAGCCUGAGGAGAGGACCCAAUGUUAGCAAAUCUUCCAAUAUAAAGAAUUUACAAAGCCCCUGAGUUUGGAUAUCAGAGGGAAGGUUGGUUUCAGCUUCACUAGGAACCCAGUCAAGAUGGAAAAUCAAAUAUACAGAAUCUGGCAGUUUGGAAGCUUCCUUAAAGAACACUCUAGAAAAAGCCAACCAACAAGUCCUUUCCUUUGGUGAACAAAGAAAAUUGCCUUCUUUGAGCCACUUAAUCAUUUCAAAGCCCAGAAAAGAAGACGGACUUUGUCUCUUUAGAAGAGAUUACUGGAGAAAUAUAUCACAUACUGUGGAAAAUGCAGAAACAAAAAUUAAAGAAAAG